AGGUUGACAUCCUUAUUCUGUCAGCUCUUUCUGGAACAAGCAAAUAACUUUGAAGUUUUACUGGAUGGAAUUCUCUCAGACUAAAAAAACUGAUUAAUAUUGGAGAGAAGGAGUAAUAAGAAGGGGAACAGUUGACUUCACACAGAGAAUCUUUGCUAAGAUGAGCUCUGCAGGUGCAGAAAGAACCAUAGAGGAGGACGUCAUCUGGGUCUGCUCUGAGUCCUAGACCUCUGGGCAUGCUCCAUCGUGGUGGUGGACGUCUUUGUAAGCAGAGAAGCAAAGUCUACGACAGUUUAAAAUGACAUUAAACAAAUGCAGAAAAUCCCGUGGCAAUGGCUUUUCCUGCCUAAGACACGUGGGUCGUGCUCUGUGACUUCAGGGACUGAUAGAGUAAGAGGCACUGGCAGAUGUCUAUCUUCUAAUAUGUGAGCUCUGGAAGCAUUAUGCAAAGCAGCAUAGGGUUUCAGUCACUGGCGCACAGAAGCCUCCAUUUGAAAGGGUGUGGUGUGUUGCAAGACGCAUGAAGUCACUUCUUAGAGGUGGAUUUAAUAAGGGAGGAUUAAAGAGAAGCAAACACAAUUCUCCAGAUCAGAAGAAUAACUUGCAUGCAAGCACCUAUUUUAAUUAUUCUUCUUUUCUCCAUCCUGAGAAAUUAUGCAAAAAUCUGAGGCUCAAAUACUGAAACUCAAAAAAUGGACUCAAUAUACUGAAAGAGAAAAUUUAACAAGUGAGAAAAGCACCAUAUCAUAGUGGCAAACCGUUGGAGGGACAGUGGCAGAGUGGCAGCCAAGGGACCGGCCCUGAGACGUGGCUGUUUUGUUUCCUGGCGAAGAGGUGUUCUAGUGGCUCUUGGCUUGAGGUGUGAGGCCUGCCCUGAAGGAGCAGGAGUCCACCAGGAAGGGCCACUUUGAGAGUGAAGCUCACCUAGGUCAGCAGCAGAAGGAGCACGGGCCACAACCAAGGUCUGCAUAACGCAACGAUGCAUCAAGUCACGAGGAGGACGUGAGUGUUCUCCCCACACCCCAUCCCUGAGGAUGGAGAGCUAAUGUUUUAAAAAAUCGAAAAUAUCGUUACAUGCUUAUUUGAAAAAACAAACAGAAACCUUUGAAACAAUACAUAAACAUACAUAAAGCAAGAAAUAGUUAAGAUUUUUGAGCACUCACUGUUUCAAGGAUUCACAGGUGUUAACUCAUGUAAUUCUCAUGACAAUGCCGCGAGUACCACUUCUCCUCCCCUCCAAAUUGGGCAUAGCAGGCAGCGAGAGAGAAAGUAACUUUUCCAAGCAUACUCAUAGAGUGAAAGUGUGAGCUGAUAUUUGAACUCAGGCAGUUUGUACUGGAGACAAAGACACCAAAUCGCCUGUCUUGUCCAUUCUUGUACUCGCAAUAGGAAAUAUGUUAAAAAUACAGACUCCUGAGCCUCACUCCAAAGCUACUGAAUCAGAAUCUUUGGAGGUGGGUCCCAGGAAUCUGUAUUUUUAACUUGUUCCCUAGUAGUUUUUGCAAAGUCUUCUACAGACCGGCAUUGGGAAGGAGAGGGUAAUGGAAACAACUAAAAAAAAGCUUUUCCAGGUAGGGUAGUAAAGCCUUAUAAUUUAAUGACGGGCUAUUCAGUAAAUUCAGAGGUCAUCUGGAAGAUGUCUGUGGAUGGACAUAUGUGGGGUGUGUGCUGUAUGUCACUAUACACAUAUAUGUGAGCAUACAUGUAUGUGUGAAAAGUGCCCAGAAUCAGACAACUGAUAAAGACAUAAAGACUCUGAAGAUAGAUUAGAUCUGAGAUGCUGAUGAAGCUACCUGUGGCCAAUCUAGUUCUGUUGGUGGUCAGAACUAAAAUGACACUGCUAGGACAUAUCAGUAAUUAGUUGAGAUAUUUAUGGUUAACUGUGUAAUAAAUUUGGUUUAUUAGUUUACCCAGGGGGUGAUUUAAAAAAAUAUUAUUGAUUUGUUUCUCCUAAAGUCACAAUUGAAGAAUACCACUCAGGAAUAGAAGAAAUUCCUAAUCUAUCCGGGAUCUGUAAUAAGAAACCCAUCUGAGAUCUGGCGAGGCAUGGCUGUGCCAUGACCCCCGGUAGGCACAGCUAUACAACUGCAUAGGGACAGUUACAGAAUGGCAUCGAGAGAUGCGAAGGUUACUUCGUUUUUGUUGCACAGUGGGUCUAGGAUUUUGUACUCAAUUUGACACCUCAAAAACAAUCCAUUUCAUUGAUUCACUCUAAGGUGAACCUCUUGGCGAUGACCUUAAAAUCCAGAUAGAAAUGAGUCCCACUGUCUCUCUCCCUGGACAGUACUGGGUAAACACAGGUCUUAUUCUUGGGCUAUCAUUUCCUUUGACUCCUCACGAACCACUACCCUUCAGUUAGUUAGUCCGGUUACAUUUGCCAUUAAAACAACCAAAUACUGGCCUCAUGGCUCUGUAAGGCAGUGUUUAUGUCAGAAGAUGUGAGGAGUCACUUGAAAUCAUUUAUUUAAGAAAAAGAGAUUAAAAGUUAAUGAACAAGAAAGACCCCGAAAGGACAUCCUUCAUGUUCAUGACUGUUUACCUUUUGUUCCUUCUUUAAUUCUGCAUAUUUCUAUUUUGAAAUAAACUUCUAAGAUUUUCUUAACAUCGUCUUUUUUAUUUUAACCCUUCUUCCCCCCUUUUUAACCUUUCUUCCCAAUUCUAAUCGACUGUUACUUUUAUUUAUGCCUUUGGAUUGCAAAACUGAAUUGGAAUGUUUUCUUCUUUAUUAUUUGAAUAUUGCACUGUGCUUCUGUCUGUGUCUUAUAUUCUCCCUCUUAUUUUUUAUUAUUUGUCUCAAAUUCCUUGGAUGCUUCAGGCCAUUCAGUACUUUCACCCACCGUUCUUUCUUUUUGCUUUUUGAAUUACCCCAUGAGCCCUCACCACCCACUCCUUCUCCCUCCUCCAUAGGCAGUUGUGUCAGGAGAGUGGAGUUUUUCAUUACGGAUUCAGCAGAAUUCAUAGGUGCUUGAGUGACAGCCUUCCUGCUGGGAGUCGGCCAUCUUGUCCAGUUCUCAUACUCCUAAGAUGCGGGGUGAGGCCGUAAUCUUUCUCAUAUUUUAUUGAUGGAUACAUUGAAGUGAUAGAGAUUAAACAACUUUCCCAGGAACAAACAAUGAGUCAAUGAUACAUGUUUUGCUGAUUAUCUAUCCAUUAGAAGUAGACCCAUUGGCAACAUUCUUCAUCUAUAAGAAACCUCAAACAAACAUAACAAAUACUCUUCUAAACACAAAUGACAACUUUGUGAAGAUCCCAAUACGGGCUCUUGGGAGGGUCCCCUGUUUCUUUGCCCUCUAGUUCCCUGAAGCAUCCUCUCUUUAUCAACAGGCUCAGAUGCUCAGCACAACGGCUCUCCAUUUCAUUCUCCCUUCUAAGCCGAGAUCCUAUGACCUACUUUCUCCUCCCCUUUCAAAAAGCAGAUAUUGCACAUUAGAAUUUCCCAAAGAUUACUGAGCACUUAAUUUGUUUCUACACACUUUGCUGAAGGUCUCUGUUAUUAUCUCUAGUUCACACAUAUUUAAUAGCAUACGUGUAAGGCCAGUCUCAAGAGAUAUAACCGUAUCUCUUGGUUCUCCCUGUUCAACCUUUUAGAAUCCAUAGACUAUGCCUUUCAGUCGAUAUGUUCCUAGUUUAGAUGUCUUGACUUUCUGAUGGUGAAAUCAGUGACCCUGGUUAUUUAUGUGUGACAAGAUGGGAGUGUUGUCCGAGGAUUGGACAAGGCCUUCUCUCUUACCAUCUCUGGAUGGUUCAUUGCAGGAAAUUUUCUGUCCUUUAACCCCAGGAAGUGUCACAGACAUUUCCCUUCUCUGUUCACAAUGCUGGAUCUAUUUUUGCCCACAUGGCAAUGAAGUUGUUUUAUAAGCUUAAAAAUAGCCUCCUCCUUUUAUUCCUAUUCUUCUACUACUCCAGCCCUCUGCUUUUCUUAGUCUUUUAGCAAAUUAUUGUAUUCACUGAAGGAUAUAGAAGUCCCACCAUAGGGGGUGAGGAGGUAGGACUGCAAAUUGGAAGCCCAGCUGCAAAAUGGAGGGGAUUGAGGAUAAUGCUUUACUCUAAUUAAAAAAACACAAUUUUUCAAGUUUUCGAAAGUAAUUGGAUGGCCACGCUUAUUAAUCAUCAUCAUGUUACAAAUAAUAGUUAACAAAGUGCCCUGUGCUUUACAUGUACUAAAUCCUAUAAGAUAUAUUUAAGACGUCCUUGCAUUUUUUUGCUACAUUUCAUAGGUGAGAAAACAGGUCAGAGAGUUUAUACAGCUUGCCCAAGGCCACACAGCCAAAAAAUGGUGCAGCAGUUUUCAAACCCAGGUCAGGAUGAGACCCACGCUGGUGCUGAGCUGUUUCUCCACUGGAGUAACUCGGAUGUGGUCUGAGAUGUCCAGUGGGAAGAACUCGUUGCUAUAAAAUAAAACCAUGUAUAAUAGGUACACAAAAUCUGUGCAGUCUGAUAUCGUGUUGCACAAUAAAUGUAACUGGAAGCACACCAACAAUGCUUGUUAGUAUCACUUUUAUGCAGUCAAAUCAAUAUUGUUUUUAAAGAUUUUACUUUUCCUUUUUCCCCACAAAGGUCCCCGGUACAUAGUGGUGUAUUUUU